AGGGAUCAUUGCUGGAACGCGCCCCAGGCGCACCCAGAAACCCUUUGUGAACUUAUACCUUACUGUUGCCUCGGCGCAUGCUGGCCCCCUCGGGGGCCCCUCGGAGACGAGGAGCAGGCACGCCGGCGGCCAAGUUAACUCUUGUUUUUACACUGAAACUCUGAGAAAAAACACAAAUGAAUCAAAACUUUCAACAACGGAUCUCUUGGUUCUGGCAUCGAUGAAGAACGCAGCGAAAUGCGAUAAGUAAUGUGAAUUGCAGAAUUCAGUGAAUCAUCGAAUCUUUGAACGCACAUUGCGCCCUCUGGUAUUCCGGAGGGCAUGCCUGUUCGAGCGUCAUUUCAACCCUCAAGCAUUGCUUGGUGUUGGGGCACUGCCUGUAAAAGGGCAGGCCCUGAAAUCUAGUGGCGAGCUCGCCAGGACCCCGAGCGCAGUAGUUAAACCCUCGCUUUGGAAGGCCCUGGCGGUGCCCUGCCGUUAAACCCCCAACUUCUGAAAAUUUGACCUCGGAUCAGGUAGGAAUACCCGCUGAACUUAAGCAUAUCAAUAAGCGGAGGAA
rnacentral:rRNA from 1 species